rnacentral:rRNA from 1 species
CCUACGGGUGGCAGCAGUGGGGAAUAUUGCACAAUGGAGGAAACCCUGAUGCAGCGACGCCGCGUGAGUGAAGAAGUAUUUCGGUACGUAAAGCUCUAUCAGCAGGGAAGAAAAUGACGGUACCUGACUCAGAAGCCACGGCAAACUACGUGCCAGCAGCCGCGGUAAUACGUAGGGGCAAGCGUUAUUCGGGUUUACUGGGUGUAAAGGGAGCGUAGACGGUAGCGCAAGUCUGAAGUGAAAUCCCAUGGCUUAACCAUGGAACUGCCUCGGAAACUGUGCAGCUGGAGUGCAGGAGAGGUAAGCGGAAUUUAUAGUGUAGCGGUGAAAUGCGUAGAUAUUAGGCGGAACACCAGUGGCGAAGGCGGCUUACUGGACUGUAACUGACGUUGAGGCUCGAAAGCGUGGGGAGCAAACAGGAUUAGAUACCCCAGUAGUC